AGUGAACGCUGGCGGCAGGCCUAACACAUGCAAGUCGAACGGCCGCACAGUAAGAGCUUGCUCUUACGGGUGGCGAGUGGCGGACGGGUGAGGAAUACAUCGGAAUCUACUUUUUCGUGGGGGAUAACGUAGGGAAACUUACGCUAAUACCGCAUACGACCUACGGGUGAAAGCAGGGGUUCUUCGGACCUUGCGCGAUUGAAUGAGCCGAUGUCGGAUUAGCUAGUUGGCGGGGUAAAGGCCCACCAAGGCGACGAUCCGUAUCUGGUCUGAGAGGAUGAUCAGCCACACUGGAACUGAGACACGGUCCAGACUCCUACGGGAGGCAGCAGUGGGGAAUAUUGGACAAUGGGCGCAAGCCUGAUCCAGCCAUACCGCGUGGGUGAAGAAGGCCUUCGGGUUGUAAAGCCCUUUUGUUGGGAAAGAAAAGCAGCAGGUUAAUACCCCGCUGUUCUGACGGUACCCAAAGAAUAAGCACCGGCUAACUUCGUG
rnacentral:rRNA from 1 species